rnacentral:rRNA from 1 species
AGAUUGAACGCUGGCGGCAGGCCUAACACAUGCAAGUCGAGCGGCAGCACGGGUACUUGUACCUGGUGGCGAGCGGCGGACGGGUGAGUAAUGCCUAGGAAUCUGCCUAGUGGUGGGGGAUAACGUUCGGAAACGGACGCUAAUACCGCAUACGUCCUACGGGAGAAAGCGGGGGACCUUCGGGCCUCGCGCCAUUAGAUGAGCCUAGGUCGGAUUAGCUAGUUGGUGAGGUAAUGGCUCACCAAGGCGACGAUCCGUAACUGGUCUGAGAGGAUGAUCAGUCACACUGGAACUGAGACACGGUCCAGACUCCUACGGGAGGCAGCCAGUGGGGAAUAUUGGACAAU